AUUGAACGCUGGCGGCAGGCCUAACACAUGCAAGUCGAGCGAGCGGCGGACGGGUGAGUAAUGUCUGGGAAACUGCCUGAUGGAGGGGGAUAACUACUGGAAACGGUAGCUAAUACCGCAUACCAUCAGAUGUGCCCAGAUGGGAUUAGCUAUUUGGUGGGGUAACGGCCUACCAAGGCGACGAUCCGUAACGUGUCUGAGAGGAUGAUAAGUCACACUGGAGCUGAGAAACGGUCCAGACUCCGACGGAAGGCACCAGUGAGGAAUAGUGGACUAUGGGCGAAAGCCUGAUCCACCCAUGCCGCGUGUGUGAAGAAGGUCUUCGGAUUGUAAAGCACGUUAAGUUGCGAGACGUUACCAACAGAAUAGGCACCGGCUAACUUCGGGCCAGCAGCCGCGGUAAUAC
rnacentral:rRNA from 1 species